GACGAACGCUGGCGGCGUGCUUAACACAUGCAAGUCGAACGGAAAGGCCCUGCUUUUGUGGGGUGCUCGAGUGGCGAACGGGUGAGUAACACGUGAGUAACCUGCCCUUGACUUUGGUAUAACUUCAGGAAACUGGGGCUAAUACCGGAUAGGAGCUCCUGCUGCAUGGUGGGGGUUGGAAAGUUUCGGCGGUUGGGGAUGGACUCGCGGCUUAUCAGCUUGUUGGUGGGGUAGUGGCUUACCAAGGCUUUGACGGGUAGCCGGCCUGAGAGGGUGGACGGCGACAUGGGGACUGAGAGACGGCCCAGACUCGUACGGGAGGCAGCAGGGGGGAAUAUUGCACAAUGAGCGGAAGCCUGAUGCAGAAACGCCGCGUGCGGGAUGACGGCCUUCGGGUUGUAAACCGCUUUCGCCUGUGACGAAGCGUGAGUGACGGUAAUGGGUAAAGAAGCACCGGCUAACUACGUG
rnacentral:rRNA from 1 species